rnacentral:rRNA from 1 species
UGGCUCAGGAUGAACGCUAGCGGGAGGCCUAACACAUGCAAGCCGAGCGGUAGAGAUCUUUCGGGAUCUUGAGAGCGGCGUACGGGUGCGGAACACGUGUGCAACCUGCCUUUAUCUGGGGGAUAGCCUUUCGAAAGGAAGAUUAAUACCCCAUAAUAUACUGGAUGGCAUCAUUCGGUAUUGAAAACUCCGGUGGAUAGAGAUGGGCACGCGCAAGAUUAGAUAGUUGGUGAGGUAACGGCUCACCAAGUCUGCGAUCUUUAGGGGGCCUGAGAGGGUGAUCCCCCACACUGGUACUGAGACACGGACCAGACUCCUACGGGAGGCAGCAGUGAGGAAUAUUGGACAAUGGGUGAGAGCCUGAUCCAGCCAUCCCGCGUGAAGGACGACGGCCCUAUGGGUUGUAAACUUCUUUUGUAUAGGGAUAAACCUACCCUCGUGAGGGUAGCUGAAGGUACUAUACGAAUAAGCACCGGCUAACUCCGUGCCAGCAGCCGCGGUAAUACGGAGGGUGCAAGCGUUAUCCGGAUUUAUUGGGUUUAAAGGGUCCGUAGGCGGAUCUGUAAGUCAGUGGUGAAAUCUCACAGCUUAACUGUGAAACUGCCAUUGAUACUGCAGGUCUUGAGUGUUGUUGAAGUAGCUGGAAUAAGUAGUGUAGCGGUGAAAUGCAUAGAUAUUACUUAGAACACCAAUUGCGA